AAGUCGUAACAAGGUCUCCGUAGGUGAACCUGCGGAGGGAUCAUUCACAUGAUAUACUUUACAAAACAAACUGUGAACUUUAAACAAAAUACUAUUCGUGUGUUAUCAUAGGACUUGUUCUAUUUUACACAUUGUCAUUCGAUUGAACAUAAGAUAGUUGGCUUGAAAUUGUAAUUUAUUACAUUUUCUUUCUCAGCUUUGAUUUGAUAUAACUAAACAUUUUAUCACUUCAACCAUAAAACAUAGAAACAACUCUAUGCCCUGGAUAUCUUGGUUCUC
rnacentral:misc_RNA from 1 species